CAGCAGCCGCGGUAAUACGGAGGGUGCAAGCGUUAAUCGGAAUUACUGGGCGUAAAGCGCACGCAGGCGGUUUGUUAAGUCAGAUGUGAAAUCCCCGAGCUUAACUUGGGAACUGCAUUUGAAACUGGCAAGCUAGAGUCUUGUAGAGGGGGGUAGAAUUCCAGGUGUAGCGGUGAAAUGCGUAGAGAUUUGGAGGAAUACCGGUGGCGAAGGCGGCCCCCUGGACAAAGACUGACGCUCAGGUGCGAAAGCGUGGGGAGCAAACAGGAUUAGAUACCCCGGUAGUCCCUGUCUCUUAUAC
rnacentral:rRNA from 1 species